rnacentral:rRNA from 1 species
GAUGAACGCUAGCGAUAGGCUUAACACAUGCAAGUCGAGGGGCAGCAUGGUCUUAGCUUGCUAAGACUGAUGGCGACCGGCGCACGGGUGCGUAACGCAUAUGCAACUUGCCUCACAGAGGGGGAUAACCCGUCGAAAGACGGACUAAUACCGCGUACACUCCAUCUUGGGCAUCCAAGGUAGAGGAAAUGAAAUUCGCUGUGAGAUAGGCAUGCGUCCCAUUAGCUAGUUGGUGAGGUAACGGCUCACCAAGGCGACGAUGGGUAGGGGAACUGAGAGGGUGAACCCCCACACUGGUACUGAGACACGGACCAGACUACUACGGGAGGCAGCAGUGAGGGAGAGUGGUCAAUGGGCGAGAGCCUGAACCAGCCAAGUCGCGUGAAGGAUGACUGUCUUAUGGAUUGUAAACUUCUUUUAUACGGGAAUAACAAGAGUCACGUGUGACUCCCUGCAUGUACCGUAUGAAUAAGCAUCGGCUAACUCCGUG